rnacentral:rRNA from 1 species
AUGCCGCCACGACGGCGCGCCGGCCUUGCUCUCCUCGCCCACCUGUGCGUGUCGCUCGCUUCCGCGGCGUCCUACAGCGUCGUCGACUACGGCGCCGUGGCCGACGGCCGGACGGACUGCGCGGGGGCGUUCCUCCGCGCGUGGGCCGCGGCGUGCGGUGCGGAAGGCGAGGGCCCGUCCGCGGUGGUCGUGCCGGCAGGCGAGUUCUUGGUUUCCAGGGCGAGGUUCAGCGGGCCGUGCCGGAGAGGCGCGGUGGCCGUGAACAUCAUGGGCACGGUGCUCGCGCCCGUGCCGUACGCCGGCGUGCAGCUCUGGAUCGUGUUCCAGAACGUGGACGGGGUGUCCGUCGUCGGCGGCACGCUCGACGGCAGGGGCCAGGCCUACUGGGCGUGCCGGAGAGCCGGCGGCGACUCCUCUUGCCCCGCCGCCACCAGGUCGUUCACGAUCUACCGGUCGAGGAACGUGGUGAUCCAAGGCCUGACGUCCCUGAACAGCGCGGGCAUCCACGUCACCGUCCAGGCGAGCACCGGCGUGGCGAUAGUGGACACGGUGGUGUCGGCGCCGGGGAACAGCCCCAACACGGACGGCAUCCACGUCAAGCAGUCAAGCGGCGUCACCAUCCGGAACGCUGUCAUCGGCACCGGCGACGACUGCAUCUCCAUGGUCGAGGGCUCGUCGGACGUGUGGAUUCAGGGCGUCACUUGCGGCCCGGGGCACGGCAUCAGUAUUGGGAGCCUGGGAGACACGCCGGAGCAGGUGGCCGUGCGGAACAUCACCGUGAAGGCCGUGACGCUCGCCGGGACGACCAACGGGCUGCGGAUCAAGUCGUGGGCGAAGGCCAACAGCGGGCUCGUCGACGGCGUCGCUUUCUCGGACGUGGUCAUGAGGGACGUCCGGAACCCGAUCAUCGUCGACCAGAACUACUGCCCCGGCAACAUCAGCUGCCCCACCGAGGGUUCGGGAAUCAAGAUCACCAACGUGUCAUACACGAACGUCGAGGGGACGUCGGCCACGCCGGUGGCGGUGCGGUUCGACUGCAGCCCGAGCCGGCCGUGCACCGGAAUCACCACGCGUAACGUUUGGCUGGGGUACGGGGAAAGGCGGCGAGCGGCCGAGUCCCUCUGCAGGAACGCGCAUGGGGUCGCGCAUGGGCAGGUUGUUCCGCCGAGUUGCCUGGCCGACUGGGAAAUGUUUUUGUACAAGUGA